GGUGGUGUGGUCUAGUGGUAUGACGUCACGUUGUGGUGUGCUCUAGCACAUCAAUUCCGUGCCAGCCUGGGUUCGAUUCCCAGCACCGCCA
rnacentral:tRNA from 1 species